GGGGAUUUAGCUCAGUGGUAGAGUGCUUGCCUAGGAAGCACAAGGUCCUGGGUUCGGUCCCCAGCUCCG
rfam:Rattus norvegicus chromosome 7, whole genome shotgun sequence.